rnacentral:lncRNA from 1 species
AUAGGAACAUCAAAGCAUUUUUUCUAACAAACAACAGCAAUCACAAAAACAAGCCAGGAGAUAAAUUAUGCCGCUCUUCUAGAAGGCAAAAUAGAUGUGGUCUCACCAUGUUGCCUCAGCUACUCUCAGCUCCCUGGCUCAAGUGAUCAUGCCAUCUCAGCCUUUCAAGCAGCUGGCAUUACCAGCAUGCACCAUGGCACCUGGCUCUAGAAGUUUGGUGUUUUGUUUUUAAGAGACGGGGUCUCACUAUGUUGCCCAGGCUGGAGUGCAGUGACUAUUCACAGGGUCGAAUUCUGUCACUGAAGCUGGAGUGUGCAAUCACAGCUCACUGCAUUCUUGACUUUCCAGGCUCAGGUGAUCCUCCACUUCUGCAUCCUGCGUUGCUGAGACCACAGGCACGUGCCACCAUGCCCAGCUUAUUUUUGUAUUUUUUGUAGAGAUAAGGUUUCACCCAUGUUGCCCAGUCUAAUCUCAAACUCCUGGGCUCAAGAGAUCCUUCCAGCUAGGCCUCCCAAGAUGUUGGGAUUAUAGGUGUGAGCCACCAUGCCCAGCAUUCUCUUCCAAAUUCUUUUUACCUUCAUUUCAUACUAUUUUUUCCUUCCUUGAACUGCUUUUCUAAGCUUGUAAAAUGCUUUGAAAUGUUGAAGAGUUAUCAAAUGAAUGACACAAACAGAUUAAAAUCUCUAAUUGGAAAGCUAUUGGUUUCUGUGCUUUAUUUCAUCAAUGUAUAUGAACUGAGUGUUAAUUGAUGCUAACAGCUUUCUCUGGUAGACCCUGUGGGACAUGCUGAGAAAUGCCUUGCCCUCAAGGAAUGUACAGUUUGGAUGGAGGGAUAUGAAGUAGCACACAAUUAAGUGCUAAAUGAGUGGAACAUGUGAGUGCUCUAGGCUGUUCAAAAAGUAGAAGAAUGGGUUUGGAGUAGUCAUAGUGGAUUUUAGUAGGUAGGUGAAGGGAUAACGCUUUCUAAGUAAGGCAAAUGGUGUCAGUAAAAGCACAGAGGCAGAAAUUAAUAACUGAUUGGGCUGAUAAACAUACAUAGUUAUACUGAUAUUCACCAAUAAAAAGGGUUUGUG